rnacentral:rRNA from 1 species
GCUGGCGGCGUGCUUAACACAUGCAAGUCGAACGGGGUGUUUAUUUCGGUAAACACCAAGUGGCGAACGGGUGAGUAACGCGUAAGCAAUCUACCUUCAAGAUGGGGACAACACUUCGAAAGGGGUGCUAAUACCGAAUGAAUGUAAGAGUAUCGCAUGAGACACUUACUAAAGGAGGCCUCUGAAAAUGCUUCCGCUUGAAGAUGAGCUUGCGUCUGAUUAGCUAGUUGGUGAGGGUAAAGGCCCACCAAGGCGACGAUCAGUAGCCGGUCUGAGAGGAUGAACGGCCACAUUGGGACUGAGACACGGCCCAGACUCCUACGGGAGGCAGCAGUGGGGAAUCUUCCGCAAUGGGCGAAUGCCUGACGGAGCAACGCCGCGUGAACGAUGAAGGUCUUAGGAUCGUAAAGUUCUGUUGUUAGGGACGAAGGGUAAGGAUCAUAAUAAGGUUUUUAUUUGACGGUACCUAACGAGGAAGCCACGGCUAACUACGUGCCAGCAGCCGCGGUAAUACGUAGGCGGCAAGCGUUGUCCGGAAUUAUUGGGCGUAAAGGGAGCGCAGGCGGGAAACUAAGCGGAUCUUAAAAGUGCGGGGCUCAACCCCGUGAUGGGGUCCGAACUGGUUUUCUUGAGUGCAGGAGAGGAAAGCGGAAUUCCCAGUGUAGCGGUGAAAUGCGUAGAUAUUGGGAAGAACACCAGUGGCGAAGGCGGCUUUCUGGACUGGAACUGACGCUGAGGCUCGAAAGCUAGGGUAGCGAACGGGAUUAGAUACCCCGGUAGUCCUAGCCGUAAACGAUGGAUACUAGGUGUGGGAGGUAUCGACUCCUUCCGUGCCGGAGUUAACGCAAUAAGUAUCCCGCCUGGGGAGUACGGCCGCAAGGUUGCAACUCAAAGGAAUUGACGGA